GAUGAAGAACGCAGCGAAAUGCGAUAAGUAAUGUGAAUUGCAGAAUUCCGUGAAUCAUCGAAUUUUUGAACGCACAUUGCGCCCUCUGGUAUUCCGGAGGGCAUGCCUGUCCGAGCGUCAUUGCUGCCCUCAAGCACGGCUUGUGUGUUGGGCCCCGCCCCCCGAUCCCGGGGGGCGGGCCCGAAAGGCAGCGGCGGCACCGCGUCCGGUCCUCGAGCGUAUGGGGCUUUGUCACCCGCUCUGUAGGCCCGGCCGGCGCCUGCCGAUCAACCAAACUUUUUUCCAGGUUGACCUCGGAUCAGGUAGGGAUACCCGCUGAACUUAAGCAUAUCAAUAAGCGGAGGA
rnacentral:misc_RNA from 1 species